rnacentral:misc_RNA from 1 species
GAUGAAGAACGCAGCGAAAUGCGAUACUUGGUGUGAAUUGCAGAAUCCCGUGAACCAUCGAGUCUUUGAACGCAAGUUGCGCCCGAAGCCAUCAGGUUGAGGGCACGUCUGCCUGGGCGUCACAUAUCGUUGCCCAAUGCCUAUUGCAGUGCAAUAGGAAUUUCUAGGGCGAAUGAUGGCUUCCCGUAAGCGUUGUUGCCUCGCGGUUGGUUGAAAAUCGAGUCCUUGGUAGGGUGUGCCAUGGUAGAUGGUGGUCGAGUUAGAACGAUACCGAUCAUGUGCAUGCUCCCCAAAAUAUGGCCUCUAUGACCCACACGCGUCUUUUGACGCUCAUGACGAGACCUCAGGUCAGGCGGGGCUACCCGCUGAAUUUAAGCAUAUCAAUAAGCGGAGGA